AUGUACUUAAUAGAUAUGGUGAUGAGGAACAAUGUGAGGGGUGUUUGAAGUAUUAUUUACGACAAGGGGAUGCAGUAAAGAGGAAUGUCUUUAGUCUCAAUUUGAAUAUGGAAAGAGUGUCUGCCUCUUGAAUGGAAGCAGGAAGAUUAUUCCACAGGAGGGCCUCCUGUUGGGCUUUUUGAUAUUCUUGGAAUUACAAGGAGACCUGCACUCUGGGAACGAGGUGGUCUUGGUGGGCAAUAGGGGACAACUGAUUCCACUAAGACGUUUGGGGCUUUGUAUGUUAGUGUAACCGGGUCAUAUUUUGAGGUUGUUGUAUGUUUUCUAAGUGGUAAUGGGACAUGUCUCCUUUAAAUGCCAGAAAACUACAUUGCAUCAUGUUGUAGUUCCUGGGUUGGUAUGUGGUGAAUUCUGGGUAUUAAGACUGGAGCGAGAACGCAGUGCAUCAGAGAAGGUGGCUGGCGUGAGGGAUAUUUGGUGAUACUUGGUUAAUAUUGCUGACAUAUAGCCAUACUGGUAUCCUGGGAGCACACGUGUGUGGAGGAUAGAGAUGUGUGCGUGUUAGGAACAUGUAAGUGUUGGUAUCAUUUCAUUCGGACAUACUGGUGUAUAUUUUGGUUUUAUGUAUAUUUUAGCUUUAUGUAUUUGAUGUUAGUGGUAUACUAAUGAUGUUUUUGUAUUUGUCUACUCUCAGUAUCACCACUACCGUUUUGUAUUGCUGAACCUUACUUUCAUUUAUUUUCUUAUACGGCUAGUUGAGCUACAGAGUUGGGAUAGGCUUAGCUUGUGUACAGGUUAGUUUAUCAUAUAAGAUUUCUAUUUGAUGUCAUUUUAUUUUUGUACUUUUCUAUACAAAUAUUUUGUUUUAUAUAUCUAUCAGAUAAAGAACCCUUACUCUUAA